AUGGAUUUAAAUAUCGAUAUUAUCGGCGAAAUAUCGCCGAUAAUAUCGAUUUUUCGGGUAAUGGAUAUUUAAACUGGUUUCCGUGUAGUUUUCGUCCAAAUAUCGCGAUAUUAUCGAUAUUAUCGAUAAUAUCGCGAUAUUUUGGAAAUAUCGAGAAAUUUCGUUGAACGGUGCAAUCGGAUUCCGAUAUCGGACGCCGGAGAAGAACGCCGGAGAUGGUGUGCUGUUCCCGAGCCCAUUUCGUCCCAAAAACCUUGCAAAAACACGAAUUUUAACUUAAAUUUCACAUAUAUACUCCAAAUUUCACGCAUGCAUCAACGAUUCAACAUAUGUGAUAUCGGUUUAGGGCUUAGGGUUUCAAUGGAAUCUCACCUGAAAUAUCGAUGACUGGGCCAACUCCUUGCUCAGCGGCGCACCACCAGAGACGACUGAGGGAGAAGAAGAAGGAUGGAGAGACUGAGGGAGAAGGAUGGACGGAGAGACUGAGGGAGAAGGAUGGACGGAGAGACCGAGGGAGAAGGAUCGAGAUCGAGGCUGAGGGAGAAGGAUGGACGGACGACGGAGAGACUGAGGGAGAGAAGGAGAGACUGCGUGUGUGGUGUGUGCGUGUGUGGUCUGCGUGUGUGGUGUGUGCGUGUGUGGUCUGUGCGUGUUUUGCAGAGAAGAAGAGACUGAGGGAGAGAAGCAGAGAAAGGGAGAGCCUGGGAAAGUGGAGAGAAAGAGAGGACUGAGAGAGAAGAUAGAUGUGAAGGAUGGGGAAUCGGGAUGGAGGGGAGGUCACACCACACACAUGGUGUUGAAAUGGGGAAGCAUGCUGCACCUUUUCAAAGUUUCAAUUUCAACCACCCACCCAACCAUGAUUUUUACUUUUAAUUUUAAAAAGUUAAAUAUAACCAUUCAAAAUAUCUUAAGUUAUAUGACUUAAUGUAUUUUUAAAUUUUAGAUUGGUUGGAUAUUCUUUUUACAUUUUAUCAUUCGAUUUAUUUGUGGGCUAACGAGGGAAACCAAACUAGCACAUAUGAACAAUAAUUAGUAAUUUAUUUAGAGUUUUAAUACUCACAUCCUUAUUAAACUCCUAAUUAAUUUUCAAUUCAAACAUUUCAAAUAUAUAAAAAAUAAAAUAAGAAUAAGUUUGUACCCAUUAAUUUUUAUAAAAAAAAAUUGAUAUGUACCCGUUAUAAGAAUAAGUCACUCAUGUAUCUUACCAUGCAAUAUAUAAAGUGUAAAAUAUUGUACUAAUUCAUUAUAUAUAAAUGAUUAUGGUGUGUUUAAACUUCUUUCAUUAAUUACUACAUAUAUAAAUGAUUAAUUACUACAUAUUUUCUACAUUCACAAUGUUUGUCAGCUCGCUAUAUAAUCAACUUGAUAAUGUUAAAUCCAUCAUGCAAUGCAUUUCCUUCCAAUUUUUUGUGAUAAACUAAUAGAUAAUUGACUAAAUAAACAUCCUGCAAAGUUUCAAUAAAAAUUUCCAAGUUUUUCUUACAAUUUCCGUGGUUUCCAUGUAAUUUUUAUAGAUAUCGAUAUUUUAUCGAUAUUUCCGUCGAUAUUUCCGUGUUUUCGGACUACCGAUAUUUCCGAUAUUACCGAUAUUUAAUACCUUGCCAGUGAGUGGGCAGUAUUUUCUGUAUUUACCUAUAUACUAUUGAUUUUUCCCAAAAAUUGAAUUUAAAUGAAAGUAUGUUUUAAAAUGCCAUGCAUACAUAUAUAUGAAAUAUGUUUGUACCAUACUUGACCAAUCUCGAAACUACUGAGCACCAGUCAACGUUAUACCGUCAAGGACCCAGAAGAGUUUCCCUCUAACCAGGAGGCUAAUCACAGCACAACACAUGUCGACAUCAGAAGCCAAUCAUAGCGCGACACGUGUUAACAUCAGAAGCCAAUCACAACACGACACGUGUCAAUGUCAGAAUGAAACUAGAAACUCUCUUCUAUAAAUAGAGAUCAUUCUUUCACAAUAUUUUCGAAUGUUAUUUGUACUAAAUCAUUCACUAGUACUCAUUAAAAGAGAGCUUGAACCUAUGUACUUGUGUAAACUCUUCACAAUUAAUGAGAACUCCUUUACUCCGUGGACGUAGCCAAUCUGGGUGAACCACGUACAUCUUGUGUUUUCUUCCCUGUCUCUAUCCAUUUACAUACUUAUCCACACUAGUGACCAGAGCAAUCUAGCGAAAGUCACAAACUUAAUACUUUCUGUUGUACCAAAGUCCCCACUGAUUUUGUGCAUCAACAUUUGGCGCCGUCUGUGGGAACGACACUUAUUCCCACUAUCUUCAGCUUUGUCAAGCUGGUUUCCACCAUUCGUACACUCUCUUUUAACCAGGCACCCCUCUCCAACAUGGGGAGCGAAGGAAGCCAUAGCACACAGAAUGACACCCCUCUUGCACCUAGUGCGAAGCAAUGAAAGAAGGAAGGAAAAAAGGUUGUUCUUUAAGCUAAAGUCGAUGAGCUAGAAGCUCAAAACAACAAGAUAGCAAUAAAGAAUGAGGUCAUCCAGGAGCAGUAUGAGAAGCUUUUUGAGACGCUCCAUGAAACUAUGCGUACUCAAACACGCGAGCUUGUUGCCCCUGUGGACAUCAACCAUCAUCUGGCUGCCUCCUGACACGGAGGGUCACCUUUAUUUGACAUGGGUAUCUUUGAUGAGGAGCGAGCUAAUCAUCAAAACAUUGAUCAACAUGAGACUUUUCUCAACCCAGUUGCUUCGACCCGAAGCAGGAGAGUGGAGGAAGACACCUCCUUGUAGAAGGGUUGGAAGGAUCAAAAGCCGUUUAUCGUGACUGCCGAGACUUUCUAAAGCAACGUCGAGAGAAUCCCCUCCACAUAUACUCGAAGAUCAAUGACCCAAGGGUUUCUGAAAGACUCGGUCCCCUCCCACAACCCAGGCCAGGUGCCAAUCUAGGGAAGGAACGACAUGUCCUAGAGGAACAUGAAGGUACAUGGGACUCUGAGGUAUUUCGACAGACUCGCCCUAGAAGUCAGUACGGCGAGUCCAAGGAAAAAUCACACGCCCUUGCUCAAAUUUUCCUACUUCUAAGAGGCGAUGGAGACUUACGAAAGAAAAUCCCAAUGGUACAUGACUCCACUCAAGACCCCCUUGUCCUACAGCUCUUUGAGGAAGUAAACAAGUUGAAGGCCGAACGUCAGGCCGAGAUACCUGACUGGAACCAACCCAGGCUUGGCCCUCUCACAAGGAAGAUCCUUGACACCCCCUUCAAGCGAAGACAAAACAAAAGCUUGGUUUACAACUCUAUACUGGAAGGGAGGACCCAAUUGAACACCUUAACCUCUUUGAGUCCACCAUGGGCAUAUCGGAUGCACACCGACGAAGAGCGAUGACUUCUCUUCCCCUUUACCCUCUCUGGUGAAGAUCUAAACUGGUAUUGCUGUCUUCCACCUGAGACAAUAGACUCAUUUGAGGAACUAAGGAAACUGUUUGUCUCUCAACAUAUCUUCCAGACCGAUUGCUUGCAUUCUUAGAUGACUUGUACACUAUUCGCCAGAAGCCGGAUGAGUCACUACGAGAGUAUGCUGGUCGUUUUAGCCAUGAGUAUUCUCACUGUGCUGAGGCAGAUGAUAAGACCGCCCUCAAGGCCUUCACGGCAGGCCUACGUGAUUGUUUCUUCAAGUACAUGAUCAAUGCCAACACUUGGAAGACUUACUCAGAGGUGAUGGCACAUGCUUACAACCAUGCCUCCGCUGAGGCAAUGACAUAUCAAGGGAAACCCCCCACAACCACCCCUUAUCAGCAAGUAGGGAGUGGAAGCCAGAU
rnacentral:lncRNA from 1 species